AAUUUCUCAAGCUUGGAUAGCUUUUUUGCCUGUCCAUUAGCCUUGGUUGUUGGGCUUUGCCGUGUCCUUCAUUGGGGACGGCUGGCCUUAAAAGCAUGAGCUGAUCCUUCUGUGGUGCUGGUUCUACUCAGCGUGAUAAUGGAUCUGAUCGCUGAGGACAUCUUUUGGGAUGGCCAGUCCUCAUUUGGGUUGCUUCCAAAUCUGGUUUUGCGGAUUCUUGAAUCUGUAUUCCACUUUUUCAG
rnacentral:misc_RNA from 1 species